rnacentral:lncRNA from 1 species
UAAGAAACCCUAACUGAAUCUUUUUCUUCACCCACAUUACAUUGAGCUUCUGUUCUCUUCUGUUUUUCCAUUCAAAUAUAUUCAUUCACCUCAUUUUCUUAUUGAAGAGAUAUCUUUGUUUGCUUGGUCACAAAGGGAGGAAAAACAACCUGUCGAUACGUUUGGGUUCUUGUGAGAGGAGGGAAAGCAAAAAACUUUGCUAGUUUUAAGGUUUGUCAUAUGUCAAUUCUUCAUUCAUUAAUCUUCUCAAGUUUGUAUAAUCAUGAGC